rnacentral:tRNA from 1 species
CCUCGACGGUCGCCUUGGACUGGGCGACCUCGGCGUUCAGGACGCUGAACGGCUGGCCGCCGUCGACGCCGUUCAACUGGGCCGUCAGGGU